CCUACGGGAGGCAACAGUGGGGAAUAUUGCGCAAUGGGCGAAAGCCUGACGCAGCGACGCCGCGUGAGGGAUGAAGGUCUUCGGAUCGUAAACCUCUGUCAGCAGGGAAGAACGGUCACUGUGCUAAUCAGCCGUGAAUUGACGGUACCUGCAAAGGCAGCACCGGCUAACUCCGUGCCAGCAGCCGCGGUAAUACGGAGGGUGCGAGCGUUAAUCGGAAUUACUGGGCGUAAAGCGCUCGUAGGCGGUAUGUCAAGUCAAGGGUGAAAUCCCCGCGCUCAACGUGGGAACUGCCUUUGAAACUGGCAAACUGGAGUGUGUGAGAGGAUAGUGGAAUGCCAGGUGUAGGAGUGAAAUCCGUAGAUAUCUGGAGGAACAUCAGUGGCGAAGGCGACUAUCUGGCACAUAACUGACGCUGAGGAGCGAAAGCGUGGGUAGCAAACAGGAUUAGAUACCCCUGUAGUC
rnacentral:rRNA from 1 species